GAUGAACGCUAGCUACAGGCUUAACACAUGCAAGUCGAGGGGCAGCAUGGGAUUAGCUUGCUAAUCCUGAUGGCGACCGGCGCACGGGUGCGUAACGCGUAUCCAACCUGCCCUCUACUCCGGAACAGCCCGUCGAAAGGCGGAUUAAUGCCGGAUGGUGUCAGAUGCCCGCAUGGGCGUGUGACUAAAGGCAACGGUAGAGGAUGGGGAUGCGACUGAUUAGCUUGUUGGCGGGGUAACGGCCCACCAAGGCUACGAUCAGUAGGGGUUCUGAGAGGAAGGUCCCCCACAUUGGAACUGAGACACGGUCCAAACUCCUACGGGAGGCAGCAGUGAGGAAUAUUGGUCAAUGGGCGAGAGCCUGAACCAGCCAAGUAGCGUGCGGGAAGACGGCCCUAUGGGUUGUAAACCGCUUUUGAUUGGGAACAAAGAGCGCCACGUGUGGUGCGUUGCGUGUACCUUUCGAAUAAGCAUCGGCUAAUUCCGUGCCAGCAGCCGCGGUAAUACGGAAGAUGCGAGCGUUAUCCGGAUUUAUUGGGUUUAAAGGGAGCGUAGGCGGGCUGUUAAGUCAGCGGUCAAAUGUCAGGGCCCAACCUUGGCAUGCCGUUGAUACUGGCGGCCUUGAGUUCACACAAGGAAGGUGGAAUUCGUCGUGUAGCGGUGAAAUGCUUAGAUAUGACGAAGAACUCCGAUUGCGAAGGCAGCCUUCUGGGGUGUUACUGACGCUGAGGCUCGAAAGUGCGGGAAAUCGAACAGGAUUAGAUACCCUGGUAGUCCGCACCGUAAACGAUGAGCGCCCGUCAUUGGCGACACACAGUCAGUGACCAAGGGAAACCGUUAAGCGCUCCACCUGGGGAGUACGCCGGCAACGGUGAAAACUCAAAGGAAUUGACGGGGGCCCGCACAAGCGGAGGAACAUGUGGUUUAAUUCGAUGAUACGCGAGGAACCUUACCCGGGCUUGAAUUGCAGAGGAAGGAACUGGAGACAGUGACGCCCUUCGGGGCCUCUGUGAAGGUGCUGCAUGGUUGUCGUCAGCUCGUGCCGUGAGGUGUCGGCUUAAGUGCCAUAACGAGCGCAAACCCUCGCUGUCAGUUGCCAUCAGUUAAAGCUGGGCACUCUGGCGGGACUGCCAUCGCAAGAUGUGAGGAAGGUGGGGAUGACGUCAAAUCAGCACGGCCCUUACGUCCGGGGCUACACACGUGUUACAAUGGGGGGUACAGAGCGUUGCUUUCACGCGAGUGAUUGCGGACCGCGAAAAACCCUUUCUCGGUUUCGGACUGGAGUCUGCAACCCGAACUCCACGAAAGCUGGAUUUCGCUAGUAAUCGCGCUUCAGCCAUGGCGCGGUAAAACGUUUCCCGGGCCU
rnacentral:rRNA from 1 species